rnacentral:rRNA from 1 species
UACGUAGGGUGCGAGCGUUGUCCGGAAUUAUUGGGCGUAAAGGGCUCGUAGGCGGUUUGUCGCGUCGGGAGUGAAAACCAUGAGCUUAACUCAUGGCUUGCUUUCGAUACGGGCAGACUAGAGGUAUGCAGGGGAGAACGGAAUUCCUGGUGUAGCGGUGAAAUGCGCAGAUAUCAGGAGGAACACCGGUGGCGAAGGCGGUUCUCUGGGCAUUACCUGACGCUGGGGAGCGAAAGUGUGGGGAGCGAACAGG